rnacentral:rRNA from 1 species
CAGCGUCACGAGUGGGGAUCGCGAUUAUUGGGCCUAAAGCGUCCGUAGCCGGUUUGAUAAAUCUUUAGUGAAAUCGAUCAGCUUAACUGAUCGGCGUGCUAGAUAGACUGUCAAACUAGGAACCGGGAGGAGUCAGAAGUAUAUUUGGGGGAGCGGUAAAAUGCAAUAAUCCCAAAUAGACUACCUGUGGCGAAGGCGUCUGACCAGAACGGAUUCGACGGUGAGGGACGAAAGCUGGGGGAGCGAACCGGAUUAGAUACCCGAGUAGUCC